CGCACACACACACACACACACACACACACACACACACCAUUACCUCUGCUUUACCAUGUUAUUAGACAUUGGUUUAACUCCAUUUAAGCAUUUAAACGUUAAAAGCAUUGCACUUGUACGACGUUGUAAUACUUUUUUUUUACCAGCCGAUGACGACGAAGUGAAAGACGAUGAACUUUGCUUAAACAGUCUUACAAAGUUGGAAGAUGAUUAUCGAGGUGUGUUUAAACCUUCGAAUUAUUUAAUAUUGUGUGUAUUCAUUAUUUUGUUUUAUAGAGGAUUUGCCGUAAGAUCCUAACGCGAUCGUUUUAACACAAUCGCAGUCUGGUGAGUCAAAUGAUUCUCAUUUUACAAGAAAAAAAACAUGCGGUAUACGAUACAUAUAUACAUAUAUUUACUUACAUCUCCGGCUCGCUGGUCUCCCUUAAAGCUGGCGGGUCCGUCAACGGCCGUUCCAGGCAGAGGAGAAGGCUUGAUUGUGCCAAAGACUCCAGACAUCGAAUCCUUGCUCCGAGGGGAAAUCAUCGAAAACGACGGUGAAUGUCCAACAGGCACCCGCUAUUGGUAACACUGGACAAGUCGGAUAUCCUUGCUUGGAUCCUUUUAAAGUUGCCCGAUAAACUGCUGAGAGUUGAUCUCUCCUCUUGUCCAAAGGUUUUUCGUUCAUUUUUACUUGUAAUACUGGCACUAGGGUUGAUGUAGUAGCUCCACAACAUAACCUUAAAGCCUGUGACUGGAUCCGGUCUAUUUUCCCAAGUCAUGUUUUUGAAGCAGAUUGGUAAAUAAUGCAUCCGUAAUCAAUAACAGAUGGAAUUAAAGUUAUAAA